GCCAUGUUGGUUAGGGCUGAUGGGAGUUGGAGUCCACCAACAUUGGCACAGAUUUCCUAUCCCUAAGAUUCUUUACAUUGCUCAAUCUUAUCAUAGAAUUGUAGAGUAGGAAGGGACCUCUGGGGACCAUUGAGUUCAACCCCCUUUAAUGCAGGAAUCUCAAUGAAAGCAUCCAUGACAGAUAGCCAACCAACUUCUGCUUAAAAAACUCCAAUGAAGGAGAGUCCACAACAUCCCAAGGGGGUCCAUUCCACACUCAAACAGCUCUUACUGUCACAAUGCCGUUCCCGGUGUUUAGUCAGAAUUUCCUUUCUUGUAACUUGAAUCCUUUGGUUCGGGUCCUAGUCUCUAGAGCAGGAGAAAACAACUUUGCUCCAUCUUCCAUGUGACAGCCCUUUAGAUAUUUGAUGGUGGCUAUCAUAUAUCCUCUUAGUCUCCUCUUAUCAAGGCUAAAUACACCCAACUCCCUGAACUGUUCCUCAUAAGGCUUGGUUUCCAGAUACUUUAUCAUUUUAGGCAUGCUUGCUUGCUUACUUGGAAAUAAGUACCGUUGAAUUUAAAGGGGCUUAUUCUGAAUAAGUGAUUGUGGGACUGCAGCCUCAGAUAAGGUUAAGUCAAGAUCUCUUAAGUAAGAAUAAUGUAAAAUCAGUGCAAACAUAAUGGAGAUGAAACAGUGGUACAUAUGGAUUUUGCUCUUGGUUGGGUAAUGCCAAGAAUAUAUUACUGUAUUUUCUGUGCACUGAUGUAAGUGGCACACCAGCGUCCAGAGCCAUUGUAGAGAGCCAGUCAAUAUAUUGUUGGAGUGGGGCCCCUUCGAAUUCCUGGAUCCCAAAAGGAUUAAAAUGUAACGAAGGAUUCCAUUGCUGGAACAGCCAGUCCAGCUUCAUGGUAAUAGCCUCCUAACUAUGAGUCCUUAAGAUAACAAAGCAAGUGGCUCUGUGCCAGAACACAAAUGGGUGGGUCCCCCACCCUCAACUGUCUGUUAGUGGGAAGGACAAAGCCAAGAGUCAAGGUGUACGUGUGUGUGUAUGAGACAGAGCUAGUGGCUAGAAGCAGGCUAGGCAGCUGAAUGACAGAACCAAGCCUGAUUUCUGCUGGGAUCCAAGGCUGUGGCUAUGGGAGAAGCAGGACCUUCUUGGGGUGUUAAUGAUGUGAGCACCUCCAUCGUAGGCUCAGGUUGUAUAUAUGUGGAAAUAAACCAUCAUAAAGACACCACAGUCUCCGCUGUCCCUCAUUUUGAGAAAACCAGACUCUGGGUAAGCGCCUGGGACCCCUGGAAUCUUCCACUGCUCAGAGAUUGGGGUGGCAUGAAACAAUAUAUAUUUUUCCUGAAUAGGGCAGGGGUAAGAUAGAGAAAUGGAGAAUGCUCUGGUGCUAUUUCCCUCUCCUUGCACUUUAGUGGUAUGUGUGGGAAAGAGCACAAUGAGAACUAGCUCUGUUUGCAAUCGGCUAUUUAUCAUGUGAGUGUUGGACCUUCUGCUGAUCAUUCUUCCUGGUUCCGCAUUUUGGCUCAUCUCAUUUCCUGUUCAGAAAACACCUUCCAAAUUAUAUGUACUACAGUAAUUAAUAAUUAACAACCAAUUAACGGUGCUGCUGCUUUUAAGAGGUAGCUAUAAAAGAUUAAUGAGUGACUUAAUAGAGAUUUCAUAUUUUUAUAAGUCUGCCACUGCAGCUUCCUGGGAAGUCCUUUAACGAUAAUUCACUGGUGUAUGUAUCACCUUUGACAAAACCAUCUGUAAUCUAUUUUACUACAACAUACUGUGAUUAAUAGCUGUGUAUAACUGGGAAGGCUCUAUAAAUAAACAUAAUCUUGUAUUAUGUCUCUGUAUCAGUACAUUUGCCUGACUUCAUUCAAGGAUCUAUAAAGUGCUUUAGAGAAAUUAUGAACGUGGAAGUGGAUCGUAUUUUAUUUUGCUGUUUUCCCUGAGUAACAGUUUAUAUAAUCAGGAGAAUAAAAUGUUAUACAUUGACUAGAUUAUUAUUUUAGUGUGCAGCUUGUAUGCAAAUAUGUUGAAGCACUAGAGUCUAGGCCCUAUAGCAUAAAGUGUGGCACUCCAGGAAAACUUUGUCACAUGGUUCUGAUGAUAUUUAAAGUGACCUAAGAGGAAAGGAAGGGAGUGGCCUUUGCUAUUUCUUCCAAGGUUCUGAUUCUAAUUUGAGCUCCCUUUCUCUUAGAGCCUUGUCCCAGCUCCAGCUAUGAGCCAAAACAAGGAAGGGUUAAAAAGUUUCCCCUUUCUCACCCUUUCAGUGUCUUAGACAGUAGAGCGAAUAAUAAAGUCAAUAAUAAAUUAAGAGCACCUUCUUCAGUUGGUUAGAGUGUGUUGUUGACAAUGCCAAGGUUGCAGGUUCAAUCCCUGUAUGGGGCAGCAUUGCAGGGGGUUGGACUAGAUGAUCCUCAGGGUCCCUUCCAACUCUAUGAUUCUGUGAUUCUCCUGUCAUCAAUUCUGUACCUACUAUUAAGGCAUCUGAUAGAACAUUGAUGUCUUUUUCUUCUGGCCUUUUAUGCUCAUCCCAUGUAAAGGACACUGGAGGGUUAUACAUGUUUGUUACCCAUCUGGCGGAUAGUGAAAUUCAGCUAAUUAAAACCUGUCAGAGUCUCAGAAGUCAACUGGAGCAGCCUUCACUGUUGGCCUUUCAACUUCCAUUUCAAAUGAAUUCGGACAGUUGAACUGACUGUUUUGCUAGCACAACCAGAGACUCUUGCCCUGAUCUCUUUGGGAUUUUCUGGCUGACAGCUGGUGGCUUGAGACAUAUACAAAAACUCGGCUUUGAGAUUCCCUACCUCUAAAUGGCCUAGAUACAGCACAGUGCUGCCAGAUGGCUGACAUGUUGAUUGAAGACUGGCCGUUUUGAGUCAAGAGCCAAUGUUGUGGCUCCAGUACAAGGGCUGCCCGCUUGUCGGUCAUGGGCAGCAUGUGCCCCCAAUGAGGUUUAUUUCUGGCAGACUAUCUUAUCUUUUAUUUUUACUUAUGUUCCCAUGAUUGCAAAAACAAUUUUCAUUGGCAGCGGUCAAAAAGUAUCAGUGCCAAACCAGUUGCUCAGCUUGCUCAUCGGGUCAGAAUAUUCAGUUCCACACUUUUUAGGGCAUAUCCGUGUUCCUACUGAAUUUAAAACCUGAAAGUUCUGGACUGCCUGAUUCCUUAUGUUUCUGCCCAAUCAUGGAGAGAUUCAAGGGAGUCACUGCUAGUGGUCCCCCAUUGCUUGAAUGCACAACUCAUACCAACCAGGAGUCAUGCAUUCAGUAUUGUGGGCCCAAUUUUAUAGAACUCCCUUCCAGCUGAGGUCAGAAAGAUCUGAACUGAACUUAAAAAACACCAGCAGGCAUUUAAACUGAAUACUGAUAUUAUGGUUUCAACUGCUUUGUUGUUUAUUGCAUUGUUUUUUCACUUGUACACUGUUUAGAAAUGAUUGUAAUUAAAUAGUAUAUACAUACAUUGCUGAAAUAAAAAGUAUAUGUU